AUGCCGUCUGCGUCGGCGUCGGCGUCGAGCCGUCAAGGGUGCGGGAUGUGGGAUGUCUGCCCAUCCGCAACUACUGGAAGAACACGCUGGCAGCGAGCGUCUCCAAGAGCAAGGGAGGAGAUGACGUUGCAGCUCAAGGGGGCCUCACUACCUGAAGGCGGAUCUGCCCCGGUGCACCGCACGCUGUGGUGGUGCAUACAGCGCUGGCGGCCAUGGUAUGAUAUAGUGGCAACCGUGGCCGGCACGACAAAGGUGGAUAUGUGGAGGAGCCGUGGAAGCACCCCUGCGCGCGCCCUCGCGUGGCGGCUCCACCCGCUGCCUGCUGCUGCCUUGAAAGUUGCAACGCCGCUGCUCUCUGCACUUUCAGCAAUCAUGGCAGCCCCAAGCCAUGCUGUUCUCGAUGCCAUAUUUUCUAAUUCGAAAUCUUUGCAUUUUUUUGGUAUUUGCUGGGAUUGA
rnacentral:rRNA from 1 species